UUCCCAUUCCCCUACUCGGGAAACUGGAGGCGUGGGAAAUACUGGGGCCAACAGUCGUGUCGCUGGGCACGUCUGAACACCGAUACCGGCCCAGAUUCACGGGGGGAACUCGGAGAGCCCAACGCCAGAUCCACGGCGUCCCCGCCGGCUCCUCGCCUCCUCAACAGCCGCCUGCCUCCAGGUGUCGCCCGCAGCCUCUCAGGCCGAAGUCAUCCAGCUUCCAAUUGUUAGCUCAGAACUACUCGGGGCGCUCACAGUGAGUCCCCGCGACACCAGGCGGACGCGCGUGGGGACACUACAUUACCCCUUUGCCCCCACCUCGCUGCCCGCCCGCGACGCCGCUAAGAUGGGGACUCAACGCGGCAGGACCUGGCCUGGGCUCACGAUGCACCCCGUGCCCCAGGGCAGAGCCGGGCACCUAGGAGCCACUCACUCCGCACUAGGGUCCGACUGAGCUGGCCGCCCGGGACCGCCACGCGGCCUCAGUCCGCGGCUGGGGCGGAGGGGGUUGAACUGGAAAAGCCGAAGAAGAGACAGAGCGGGCGUGGGGCAGCCGGGUGACCGGCCCGGGAGAGAGCGCGAACACUCUGGCCGCUAAAGAAAAAGGCCAACAGAAAACUGAAAAUGCCGAUGUUCCUCCAUUUCGAUCACCUGCCUGCCCCUGGCCUUCUCUCCCCUGGCCACCGCUCGGACCGCAACUGUGUGCGGUUGGUGCUCUCGACUCCGAAAGACACAUAGUCCGCUUAAGAGGCGAACAAGCAGGGCGGCGGCACAGAAAGUGCACUUGGCGUCACGGAAACUUACACUUGUGCCUUCUAAAGAACUUGGAGAAAAGUGCCCACGACGGUUGUGGAAAGUUGGAAAAUUCCAGUAACAGGAAUAAGGAGGUCCCUCCUCGAGCUCAGAAGUGGGAAGUUCAAAGGCCUGGGUUGUGACUUAGUGCGAAUCAGCUGCCGGCCUGAGGAAAUCUAUUAAACUCUCUACAGACCUAUUUCCUAAUAAACAUAACACGCCGAGGUUGUC